GUCGAGCGCCCCGCAAGGGGAGCGGCAGACGGGUGAGUAACGCGUGGGAACGUACCCUUUACUACGGAAUAACGCAGGGAAACUUGUGCUAAUACCGUAUGUGCCCUUCGGGGGAAAGAUUUAUCGGUAAAGGAUCGGCCCGCGUUGGAUUAGCUAGUUGGUGGGGUAAAGGCCUACCAAGGCGACGAUCCAUAGCUGGUCUGAGAGGAUGAUCAGCCACAUUGGGACUGAGACACGGCCCAAACUCCUACGGGAGGCAGCAGUGGGGAAUAUUGGACAAUGGGCGCAAGCCUGAUCCAGCCAUGCCGCGUGAGUGAUGAAGGCCCUAGGGUUGUAAAGCUCUUUCACCGGAGAAGAUAAUGACGGUAUCCGGAGAAGAAGCCCCGGCUAACUUCGUGCCAGCAGCCGCGGUAAUACGAAGGGGGCUAGCGUUGUUCGGAAUUACUGGGCGUAAAGCGCACGUAGGCGGAUCGAUCAGUCAGGGGUGAAAUCCCAGGGCUCAACCCUGGAACUGCCUUUGAUACUGUCGAUCUGGAGUAUGGAAGAGGUGAGUGGAAUUCCGAGUGUAGAGGUGAAAUUCGUAGAUAUUCGGAGGAACACCAGUGGCGAAGGCGGCUCACUGGUCCAUUACUGACGCUG
rnacentral:rRNA from 1 species